UACGAAGGGGGCUAGCGUUGUUCGGAAUUACUGGGCGUAAAGCGCGCGUAGGCGGUUUUGCAAGCCAGAGGUGAAAUGCCUGAGCUCAACUCAGGAAUGGCCUUUGGGACUGCGAGGCUUUGAGGACUGGAGAGGUGAGUGGAAUUCCCAGUGUAGAGGUGAAAUUCGUAGAUAUUGGGAAGAACACCGGUGGCGAAGGCGGCUCACUGGCCAGUUUCUGACGCUGUAGCGCGAAAGCGUGGGGAGCGAACAGG
rnacentral:rRNA from 1 species